AGUAUGCAACGGCCUCUGCAACAGUUAGGAAGAUCUUGUCCUCGCCAAUUCUGUUCGCAAAUUUGGAUGCAUAAAGCUUGUCUGUCACUGCUGGACCAGGAUUUGCAAGAACAAGCUUCAAAAAAAGCAAGAAGUUAAGUUGAUAGUCCUUCAUAGAUGCAAAUGUUCUUCCAAUUGCUGUGGCUUCCUGAGGCAACCAAAAUGUAACGGAAUAAUUACAACUACAGGAGUAGAUGAACAAAUACUCCCUCAAGAGCGGUAUUGGUAUCAAAGUUACUUACAGUCAAUGCUAUCAUGCCUGCCACGAUGCCAAUUUUAAAAGCUUUUCCAAGGUAUUCACCGCUUAAAUAAAGUUCUUUAACUGAUGAUGGAUUGAUUCCUCUUUCUAUUUUUCUUACCUUCACAUAUCAAUAGACAAAAACUUCAGUAACUAAUAUUAUGCCACUCUUACCAUCACUUGGACAUAAAAUACGCUAAUAAUCUGCAAUAUUUAAGAUGAUAAUAGAAAUCUAUAUACUUACAAUUUCUACUCCUUGCUUAUCUGCACGGGUUAUGUAUACAAAAAAAGUGGACAAGAUAACGGAUAUCAAUGGAGCAAUUGCUGGCACCCAGAAGAAUCUGGUGUUUUUCUUUCCCUGAUCGACGUAAUAUGAAAUAAUGAGAAAACAAUUUAUGAAAUCCUAAGCAUUAAUUAGGGAAUAAUAGCGAAAUGAAUUAGGGGGCGUUCUAAUGCCUUACAAUAUAUUUGGCGAACAGAAGAAAACCCAAAAAGCUAGCUCCGAUUACUAUAGUUUGCCAGUUCCACUGCAUGAUGAUAGGUGUUAAUUAAAUUAUUAAUCAAAAUAUUGUUUCAACAUACGCAAACACCAUAGUUAGAAGUUUUAAUUUUAGGCACGGACUUUUGACUCCUGCUAAUCAACAAUUUUCAUGUAUAUUGAGAGAGAGAGAGAGAGAGAGAAUACUCCGUGAUGGGCUGUUGAGAAUACUGAAUGCAGCACAGAGACAAUAUCAGUGUUCUUUGUGAACUGAGUAGUUUUAAUGCCAAGGAAACCCUUAAGCUGCUGAAGGGCAAUUGUGAUAGCAGCACCCCCCAUAAAACCCACGAUAGCAGCAUGGGAUAGGAAGUCAAUCAAGAAUCCAAGCCUGAAUGAAAAAAAUAAUAAAAUAGAAACCAAUGCAACCAUAAAAUAUUAUGGUGUAUAUCAAACAGUAACAUUCGUUGCAGCUGGUAGCACAAUAGCAGUAGCAUAAGGCAUAAAUUUUAUGACAAAACUUAGUCGCAGUACAUUUCUCCGAUUAGAAUUACAAUUUCACUUUGAUAACAUUCAUUUAUCUUUAAUGUAGUAUCAAUAAUAUAUAUUUUUUAUAUUAUUAAAAUAAUAUUUCAAUUCUAAUUAGAAAAAAGUAUCAACAAUAUCUAUAAUACUAUAAUAAGUUGUGCUAGAUUUUAGUGGACGAAAUAUUUAAAUGCAAAGUCCCUUCUAGAACAUUAAGGGGUAGUGUCAAUGUCAUACCUAAGUAUACCAAGCGUUGCUUGAGUAAUCCCAGCAAAAAAAGUGGCUGUAAAAGCUAGUCGCCGAUAUUCUUCUGCAUGUGUUUUAGGAUCAAUCUCAUUACUAAGUAAGGUCCCCAACAAGAGAGAAACCACUGCCACCGGUCCAAUAGCAAUAUCACGAGAGCUACCCAUGACAGCAUAGAUCAGUGGUGGAACAAAACUGGAGUCUGUAUAGAAAGAACAAAAUGCAAAAGGAUCUCAGUCCAACAUCCAGAGAAAAUUACACGUGGGCAACUUAAACUGUUUGGUGAGAGGCAAGAAGAGUCUUACACAGUCCAUACUGUGGAGGCAAAUUUGCAAGCUUGGCGUAUCCAAUAUCCUGUUUUUUGAAGCCAAGUAUUAGAAGUUGGAGCCUCCAAAAUGGAGCAUGUAAUAUGAAUUAUUCUCCUUUAAAAGUUUGAAAUCAACAAUACUUACCUGAGGAAUGCAAAGACUAGCAAUAGUGAGACCAGAUAUUAUAUCCCCUUUAAAUUUUUUAAGGUUGUAACUUCUCCCCCAAUUAAGUAUUGGGAAUAUGGCCUCAAUACCGAGGAUGAGCUUCUUUGAUUUAGUUUGAUCUUUGAAGGGUCUUAGAGGAUCAUCAGCAAAUAAUGUUUCUUUUAUAGUGUCUUUGAAUUCGUUGAAGAGGUUCUGUCUUGGAGGAAUUGCCACUUUGUGGGCUUGUGGUGCCUGACCAUGUGAAGAAGAUGACAUACUUCUCAGAUCAACCUGUUUUAUUUCAAGAUUUUCAUCAGCAGGAGGACCCAUCGAAGACAUCAACUGCGACCUUCAAUCUGUAAUACUGGGAAAAGUCAUAACCAGAUAUAUUGGAAAAUAGAAAUGACAUCAAUGAGUGUGAUUUAGUAAUCACAACAAUAUGGUUUAUAUGCAUGCAAAGUCUACCAUGUUGCUUGCAUCUCUAAUAUGCAGUCCAAAAAUGCAGAUAAUCAGGCAUGGAAUAUGGAAUUUUAGACGUUGAUUGGUGAUAGAUAGAUCCUACUAACUAUGAGAAGUAACUCUGAAAUGUUUAGCCAACCUGAAUAGAAGAGAAGGCGAUAUGUGACAAAAGAUUUGAAUGGUCACUGGUUCAAGCUGUGACGCCUUCUUAAGAAGGUAGCUGCUGUGAAGCUAUUGGAUUAUAACCUCAUAGACUUUAUCUUUGAGGUCAAUGUUCUCAAGCUGAAAUUGAAAAACUAGACAAAAUUAAUGUGUGAACCGGAUCGAAUGCAUAUAUGUCAAAAUCAUACAUUACAAUAUGCAUAAUUUUCAAUGCUGACCAAACUACCCUGGAAUAAUUCACUUAAAGUCAGAUGGUCAUCUAGUAAUUUGAAACUGUCGUAACAUUAGAAAAAUGGCGGGGAAUACGAUAAGUAUUGUCUAGGGAGCAAACUUAGUGCAGCAAGAAAUUAAUAAAAUCACAUUAUAAUUUAAAAUUACUGAUCUGCUUUAAAAAUCACAAAGUCAAUAAAGUUUUAAAUAUAAAGAAAAAGACAAAGAAGUUAAACAUGUCAAAUAAUAACCAUCCAUUGGUACUGAUUGUUGUGAGUGGAACUGCAAGCCGAUUUCUUUUGUCAAAUCACAAGACUAAUUUGAUCAAAAGAAAUAUUUCGCGGAUUUUAACUAACUAGAUGUCUAAUGUGAACUUAUUAUAGACUUAUUAAAGAUAAUCUGACAAUUCAGUUGAUAUCAUGGGAGAUUGAUUGCAAAAUUUUCAAUCCAAUGAACAGCAAUAGUAAUGGUCUUUCUAUGUGCCUCUUAACGAGCAGGAGUGAAUCUCACGCACAAGUCCCUCUCAGAAGAGCAUAUAGAUACAAAAUUCUCAAUUAUCAUCUUUUCUAAUUCCUGGACAACACAAAACACGUCAUUCUCAGAAAAGAUUAAAAAGGAAUCAAAUUCUUAAACCUCACUAUAAUUCAAAAACCCAUAUUAUCGUCUCACCAAAUAAAAAUAAACAAUACUCAAAACCGUGUUUUGACUGUUCAACGGAAUCAUAAUAUAAUUGUACUUCGUUGCUUACUAAUGUUAAGAUAGAUGAUUAAUUCAUCAUAUAUGCAUUCUACUAAUACUAACUUAACAGCAUAAGUUCUCAUGAACGUAGAACCGCAGCAUUUUUAAUUUCACUUUAUACGGAUGCAGGGUAAAACAGUAAGAACAUGAACGCAUCCUUCAUUCAGAACAAGACAACAACCAAAAUCUAAACUUUUCCCAAGUCCUACUACCCUUUAGGAGUUAUGAACCACUAACUGCUUAUUCCAAAAUCCUAAGUUUGGAGAAUAAAGUCUACAAUAGACACCUAACACACCUAUCCUUCUUAAGCUUCUCAUGCAAGCCAUUGAUAGUGGAGGAUUCCAAUUACACUAACACCCCAAGUAUUCUUUAUUUCUUCACAAAUGCACUUUAACCCUUCCCAUGUCAUAAUAGGUGUAAAGCACCAAAUAAACUACCAAGGGAGAAUGACCAAACAACACACGAAAGUGAAACAAACAAAGUAACAGACAAAUAUGUACAUGGUAUUUGCAUCAAGAGAGAAUACCCAGAAAUUAAAGAGUAAACAGCUUGGCUUUCCAUUCACCACGUACCAUCGGUUUUCCUUCUCACAUGUCUCUCUGAAAAGACUCUAACUCUACUUUUGAACGUGGAACCCAUAAACACAGAGAAGAGAAAGUGACAAAAACAAACACUGCAGGGCUUGGGAAUGGAGCAGUUAAAUUAAUGAAAAGAAACUAAUAGAAAUCGGCAGUGAGAAGAUAGUUUCUCUUUGAACAUGUUGUUUUACCAAAUAGACCACUUUGUUGUUAAGGAAAAAAAAAA